rnacentral:rRNA from 1 species
UACGUAGGGGGCAAGCGUUGUCCGGAAUCAUUGGGCGUAAAGAGCGUGUAGGUUGUUCGAUAAGUCUGCUGUGAAAGUCCAGGGCUCAACCCUGGGAUGCCGGUGGAUACUGUCGGACUAGAGUACGGAAGAGGCGAGUGGAAUUCCCGGUGUAGCGGUGAAAUGCGCAGAUAUCGGGAGGAACACCAAUUGCGAAGGCAGCUCGCUGGGACGUUACUGACACUGAGACGCGAAAGCGUGGGGAGCAAACAGG